rnacentral:tRNA from 1 species
GGGCCGAUAGUCUAGGGGUUAUGAUAUCGCCCUUACGAGGCGAAGAUCGUGAGUUCGAAUCUCACUCGGCCCA